UCAAAGGUUUUGUAGAUUGGAGAACACAGU
rnacentral:piRNA from 1 species